rnacentral:lncRNA from 1 species
GGGAUGAUAUUUAUGUUAGUGUAUGGUUUUAAUUUGGGCGAAAUUUUAUGGCCCGGUUAUUUAUGGAUGUUUAUGUUUGAGUCUGAUAAAGCCUCGAACCUUGACCCGGUGUCAGAUACGGGUAAGGGGUGUUACAUUUAAUGGUAUCAAAGCUACGAUUUAGUCAAUUCUAAAACUAACAUAGCAUGUGUACAAGUCUA